rnacentral:rRNA from 1 species
AGAGUUUGAUCCUGGCUCAGGAUGAACACUAGCGGCAGGCUUAACACAUGCAAGUCGAAGGGCAUCGCGGGGAGUGCUUGCACUCCCUGGCGGCGACUGGCGCACGGGUGAGUAACACGUAUGCAACCUGCCCUCCACAGGGGGACAACCUUCCGAAAGGGAGGCUAAUCCCGCGUAAAUCUCGAUGGGGCAUCCCAUUGAGAGGAAAGCUUCGGCGGUGGAGGAUGGGCAUGCGGCGCAUUAGCUAGUCGGCGGGGUAACGGCCCACCGAGGCGACGAUGCGUAGGGGUUCUGAGAGGAAGGUCCCCCACACUGGUACUGAGACACGGACCAGACUCCUACGGGAGGCAGCAGUGAGGAAUAUUGGUCAAUGGGCGGGAGCCUGAACCAGCCAAGCCGCGUGAGGGAAUAAGGCCCUAUGGGUCGUAAACCUCUUUUGUCGGGGAACAAAAGCGGGGACGCGUCCCCGUCUGCGUGUACCCGAAGAAAAAGCAUCGGCUAACUCCGUGCCAGCAGCCGCGGUAAUACGGAGGAUGCGAGCGUUAUCCGGAUUUAUUGGGUUUAAAGGGUGCGUAGGCGGUAUGGUAAGUCAGCGGUAAAAGCCCGGGGCUCAACCCCGGCGAGCCGUUGAAACUGCCGUGCUAGAGAGGAAGAGAAGUAGGCGGAAUGCGCAGUGUAGCGGUGAAAUGCUUAGAUAUUGCGCAGAACUCCGAUUGCGAAGGCAGCCUACCGGCUUCUGUCUGACGCUGAGGCACGAAAGCGUGGGUAUCGAACAGAAUUAGAUACCCUGGUAGUCCACGCAGUAAACGAUGAAU